AGAAUCAACGCUGGCGGCGUGCCUAACACAUGCAAGUCGAACGAGAAAGUGGAGCAAUCCAUGAGUAAAGUGGCGCACGGGUGAGUAACACGUGACUAAACUACCCUUGAGUGGGGGAUAACCUAGAGAAAUCUGGGCUAAUACCGCAUAAUACCUUCGGGUCAAAGGAGCAAUUCGCUUAAGGAGGGGGUCGCGGCCGAUUAGUUAGUUGGCGGGGUAAUGGCCCACCAAGACUAUGAUCGGUA
rnacentral:rRNA from 1 species